UCCUCGGUUGCCCCAGAAUGCCUGGGAUUUUCUUCACAAGGCUGGAGAGGGUGGGAGACCCAAACCACCUCUCCACAGGCCCUCGGCACUGAGGCUGAAACGGCUCCUGCUCUGUCCAAGUCCUCCAUCCUCAUGUUUAAGCUCAAAGGAGCCUGGGGUCCUGGGUGGGCCAGGGGAGGGGGCACAAAUCUCUCGGUCUCAGUCAGGCUAGUUUGGAGCAGACUUCCUGCUCGUAGGUCCCCUUCUCCACCUCCCCCAAACCCAGGCCACACCAAGCAAUUCAGAACCCUCUCUUUGGCUCUCCAGAAAAGCAGAUGGUUAGGAGGACAGGCUCUAGCCCUGACUCUGGGCCGUUAGCACACUCUUCAUUUUAUUCCUCCGUGAAGAGAAUAGGGCACCUUGAGACACUGUGGUUUGGAGCGGCCAGUGGGGACCUUGGAGGGUGCAGGAGGGCUUCCGGGUGGAUGCAGGAUUGGGGAGCAGCACCUCUGCCUCCCCUGGGGCCAUAGCCCUCCUCGGAGACCCACCCAGCAGCAGAGGGGCGAGAGGACUGGAGUCUGGAGCCCGAGGUCUGAGAACCUGGGGCUUCUCCUCAGCCAGCCCUGGAGGUCACUCUUCCCUCCCGAGAAGACAAGCCAAGGCCGCCGCGAUGCCGCACUUCCUGGACUGGUUCGUGCCUGUUUACCUGUUCAUCUCUGUGCUCAUCCUGGUGGGCUUCGGCGCCUGCAUCUACUACUUCGAGCCCGGCUUGCAGGAGGCGCACAAGUGGCGCAUGCAGCGCCCCCUGGUGGACCGCGACUUCCGCAAGACGCUGAUGGUCCGCGACAACCUGGCCUUCGGGGGCCCUGAGGAGGAGGUGCUCCAGGAGGACUCGGCUGUGCAGGGAUGGGGCACCUGGGUGCCUUGAGAUGUCGCUGCUGCUGAUGGCCCUAGGGCUUGCUCUCCAGGUCAAGCCUGCUUACCCCACGCCUGCCCUCCCCAGCUCCGGGGACACCAUCCUGCUCCCCCCAGUGCCUUUGUGCUGCCCGGCGCUCCUGGCCCUCCACCCAGAGCCAGGCACUCUGCCGGUCCUGAGUCUCCAGGUCUCCCACGUCCCUUCAGGGUCCUGGGUGACACUCAGCUCCCCGCUCCUGCCGAUGGUCUCGACCCUGCAGCUCCACGGGCCAGGCUUCAAGUCUGCUGAAAGGAAAGGGCCCCCUUUGGAGGGAAGUCAGCUCAGGGCAGCCCAGCUCUACUGCUCUGGGCCCAAACUUAGCGUGGAUGAGUGUGUGUGAUGGGGCGUGCCAGGGGCCAGACCAUAGAGGAAGGACGUGUGUGUAUGUGUGUGUGUGUCAUAGAGGGAGAGAAAGUUUUGGAGGAGUAAGCAGCCUUGGAGACAGCAGGGUGGGGGGGAGAAGCAUGUAUGUGUGAGAGGGAGAGGGGGGCCCCAGGCAGGGUGAGAAGUGGGGGGCGGGGUGAGUUCCGUGGGCAUUAUGGGGGCCACCAGCAGCAGUUCCCGCCCCCCUUCCUUGUCUGGACUUCCCCCUUUCUCUCCUUUCCCAAGACUGAGGCUGCUGGCAGAAGCCCUGCCUCCUCUCCUGGUCCUGUGCUGCCCCCCCCAAGCCCACCCUGGAGCCCCUUCCUUUGUGGAGCACCACCCUUCCUUUUUGGACAUCUGUUGGCCUCACUCCCCUUCUCUGGGGCUUCCACCUUAAUUUAUUGCAAUAAUAAAGACUCCAUGACUAUCUCA